CCUGGUUCAAGCUUUUCUCCUGCCUCAGCCUCCCGAGUAGCUGGGAUUACAGAGACCUCUCCUGAUGGAGCAAUAUCCUGGUCACUGGGAAGCAUUCCCUGUGAUUUUGGUUGAAAAACUGUCCUUGGAAAAAGAUCUGAAAAUAUGACAAAGGGAUUGCUAUGUCCUGUCCAUUCUGUGGAGUCUUGAGCCAUGUUCUACCUGGCCCAUUCUGCAAUUGUCAGCCUCUCUAGGGAUGCCAUACUUGAAUCUCCUUGAGUGUCCUAAUGAUUUUUCUAUUAUAGUUGCCAUCUAUCUCUUUUGGCAGGUCUGUGGGCUGGCCAUGUGUUCUUUUUGCUCUGACUCUCUAGCACACUCUGACUGCUAGCUCAUUGGUUGGAUUGCUAUUUUUUCUUUGCUGACUUUUUGGUUGAUGAACUUCAAGCACUGGGUGUCCUACAAGUGGUAAGAGGUGAAGUGACCUUCUGCCAGGAGAUGGUGGCAGGGAGUCCAUUGAGGCAUCCCUCUAUUCCCUGAUCUCUUCACACCUGCUCAGCCUUAGGGAGGCAAAGAUUCAGCCAACCCAUUGCUCAGUCAACCCAUCCAUAGAUCUCCGUAGGCAAAACUAUUUCACAGGUCUGUUGCUUUGUGAUCCUCACUCUCAGGUUUCAAGACUCUUCUUUAGGUGUUCAGUGAGUCACCAGGGCGUGGGGGCAGUAAGGAAUACUGCCAAUUUUCUUCCACAGGGAGCUCCUCAGAGCCCACAACUUCAUUUCAUUUCAGCUCUUAAGAAACCCAACCGGUUUUUUGUUUGUUUUUUGUUUUUUUGUAAUUGGUCAAAGGUAGAUAAUUCAGAGCUAGUGCUAGAAACUUGCACUAGAGGCUAGAGGUUUCUAGAGACUUGUUCAGGUCAUUAUCUUUUCAGAAUUUCCUUCUGUACUCAGGUUUUGAUUUUAAAAGCCAAGAUUUUAGAUAAUUUUAUUCUUUAGUUUACCUACUGACAAUACUCAAACAAUAGGUGCCCUCUUGUCCCAAGUUGGUGGAGGGCUACCAGAGAAACAGAAAGGAAAAAAAAGAAGCAUAUUAAUGAACACUUUAUAAUUAAUGAACACUUACUGCCCUGGCAUUAAUGAAUAAAUAGGCUGGGGAUAUUGAGGGAUACAUUAAAGCAAAGAAAAAUAGAACAUAUAGCUGUAAAGUCAAAUGGCGAUCAAGAAAAGUGGGAAGAUUGUUUUCAUCAUAGCAUUUGGGGAACUCCAUUAAUCAGUAGUGACAUCUGCAGAAACUCUGAUGGUUAUCUGAUACCUAAAAUCCUAAACUCUGUUUCAGCUCAGCCACAAGUGAACUGGGUGAUUUGGGAGUAGAUAUUUGAAGUUUUUUGGUUUAAUAUUCCAUCUCCAAAAUAAGAUAUUUAAUCAUAUUAGCCUUUGAAAUUCUAGCUAAGUCCAAAUUCAAUGACACUUCUUGAUAGAUCACAUAUUCAGGCACACACAUGGGGAGAUGCAUGCACACAUUUUUCUUUCCUCUGCAACUCAGCUUCCCUGUUGGGGGUGGAUUGGUUUCUGGACUGGAAGUGAUAAAAAGGAAGUACCCUUCUGGCUCAAUAUAGUCCAGCUAUAUAUAACUGUACAACAAUACAUCUAGUAGCACUCCCAAGUGUGAAACAAGCUGCCUCUGGAUACACACCUGGCCUGUAAAAAAGAGUUCAUCAUAUGUUUAUCUGGUGGCAGCAUUUUUCACACUUGGGAAUGCUGCCGGCUGCUUUUACUGAGUGACAUAAACACUGCCAGCUUUGAGUGGGACUCAGAGCAAAGAAGUGCUCUGUAAUAGGUCCAGGGUAAGGUGCAAGCAGCCUUGAUGUGUGGGCCAUAUUGCCCGACAGAUCCGGUGCUAUUAGAAGAACUUGUGGUAGGAAAAGAUGCUGUGUAAAAUUGCUGGCUAGAUCUUGUAGGAUAACUGCAAUAGACUCCCAGAGUUCAGGAGCAAGGCCAUGCUAUCUUCAGUAGACAGUUAUAUAGCUUUUAGAAGUACAGUUCCUGUUGUGUUGCUGGACCCUAGUUGAAACAGUACUCCUGACAAUGGGACACCAAGUGACUCUAUGACCAGAGCUUCCCAUUAUAAGCUGCUUUCUGUUAGACCCUCUAUAUGAUGAACUGUCAGCAUUUUAUCCUCAGAAGGAAGUGGUAUGUCUGGAGUCAGUCAUAAGCAGGGCCAGAGUUCAUAAGAUGUUUGAAUGAGUGGCCCAGCCGUCCAUGAUAUCCAUUGCUGUUCCACUGAUGCUUCUCCUUCAAUUAACUAUUGCAGCUGCUGUACCAGUUAAAGCAGUCUAUGACCACUUACACAGAAGGGAACAGGUGAAGCUUGGUUCAUAGAUGGACUUACUCAUUAUGUGGUGCAAGCUAGAAAUAUAUUACCAUUGCAUUACAAACAUAUCUGGGAGUGGCCCUGAAAUACAGUGAGGGCAUGGAAAAUUCUCCCAAUGAACAAAGCUGUAGGCUUGAGUAAAAUAUAUAUGUGAACUCAUUAACAGAGGUGAAUAGUUUGGAUGUCUGGUCAGGGGCAUAGAAAAUGAAAUAUUGGGCUGGAAGCAUGUGGCUAGACCUAAGAAACCUUAGAGAGUUUGAGUGUAAAUUGUGAAGAUCUUUGUAUCAAAUGGUUGUAAUAAUCCAUCAUGGAAUAAGCACUAAACAAUCAAGCAGAUGAACCAGCCAUCUUUUUCAUCCACCAACCAUGUGCUGGCACAAUGAACAGCAUGAACAAUGAACAGCAUGACCAUGGCAGCAGGGAUGAAAGCUAUGCAUGGGCUCAACAGUGUGGCCUCCCUCUUACCAAGACUGAUCUAGCUCCUACUAUUGCUGAAGAUUCAAUCUGCUGGCAACCGAGACCAAAGGUGAUUCCCUACUAUGGCACCAUCUUUCAAGGGGAGAUACCAGUCACCGGUGUCAACUUAAUAUAUUAGACCCCUUGUAUCCUGGAAGGAGAAUGAAUCAUCUUGACAGAAAUAGACACAUAUUAUGGUUUUUCGUUCCAGUCUGCAGGACUUCAACCAGAGUCACUCUCUGAGAGUGGGCAGAGUGUUUAUUCCAUGGCUCAGAAUAUAGCAUGAUAUUCAAGGAUGCACUUUACAGAAGGAAGUGUGACCUUGGGAAUAUAAACAUGGAGUCUACUAGCCCCAUCACAUACUACUCCAUAGAGAAGCUGAUGGCCAGAUAGAGUGAUAGAAUUGUCUUUUAAAAAGUUUUAUCAAGAAAUAAUUCAUGUAUCAUUAAAUUCACUCAUUUUAAAUGUACAAUUCAAUGAAUUUUAGCAUAUUUAUAGGUUAUAUAACUAUGACCACAAUCCAAUUUGGAAUAUUUCUAUCACUCCAACAAGAGACCUCUUGCUCACUUAUAGUCACCACCCAUUCCAUCCCUGGAAAUGCUUUCUGGAGGAAUUGUUGAUACAUCAGUUUAGUGAUGAUACCUUGCCCUUGCAAAGAUAAGAUGCCAUUCUCUUAGAUGCAGAAUAUACUCUAAAUCAAUGACCAUGUGUUCUCAGUGGGUAUAAUACAUAGAUCUUGGAAUCAAUGGGUGGAAGUAAGAGUGGAUUGUAUGACCAGCAUCUCAGUAAUCUACCUGGGAAAUUUGUGCUUUCUCUCACUAUAACACUAGAUUGUGUGUUUCUAUAAAUUUUGGUUCCAAGAAGUGGAAUGCUUUCACCAGGAAAUACAUAAAGAUUCUCAGUAAACUUUGAGCUAUG